GAUGAACGCUGGCGGCGUGCCUAAUACGUGCAAGUCGAGCGAACGGACGAGAAGCUUGCUUCUCUGAUGUUAGCGGCGGACGGGUGAGUAACACGUGGAUAACCUACCUAUAAGACUGGGAUAACUUCGGGAAACCGGAGCUAAUACCGGAUAAUAUUUUGAACCGCAUGGUUCAAAAGUGAAAGACGGUCUUGCUGUCACUUAUAGAUGGAUCCGCGCUGCAUUAGCUAGUUGGUAAGGUAACGGCUUACCAAGGCAACGAUGCAUAGCCGACCUGAGAGGGUGGUCGGCCACACUGGAACUGAGACACGGUCCAGACUCCUACGGGAGGCAGCAGUAGGGAAUCUUCCGCAAUGGGCGAAAGCCUGACGGAGCAACGCCGCGUGAGUGAUGAAGGUCUUCGGAUCGUAAAACUCUGUUAUUAGGGAAGAACAUAUGUGUAAGUAACUGUGCACAUCUUGACGGUACCUAAUCAGAAAGCCACGGCUAACUACGUG
rnacentral:rRNA from 1 species